rnacentral:tRNA from 1 species
GGGGAUUUAGCUCAGUGGUAGAGCACUUGCCUAGCAAGCACAAGGCCCUGGGUUCGUUCCCCAGCUCCG